UACGUAGGGGUCGAGCGUUGCCCGGAGUUACUGGGCGUAAAGAGUGCGUAGGCGGUUUUCUAAGUUUGGUGUGAAAUCUCCCGGCUCAACUGGGAGGGUGCGCCGAAGACUGGAAGGCUUGAGUAUGGGAGAGGUAAGCGGAAUUCCUGGUGUAGCGGUGAAAUGCGUAGAUAUCAGGAGGAACACCUGCGGUGUAGACGGCUUACUGGACCAUAACUGACGCUGAGGCACGAAAGCGUGGGUAGCAAACAGG
rnacentral:rRNA from 1 species